CCGUACACAAAAGCGCAUGUGCUGUGAGCUCGAUGAGUAGGGCGGGACACGUGGUAUCCUGUCUGAAUAUGGGGGGACCAUCCUCCAAGGCUAAAUACUCCUGACUGACCGAUAGUGAACCAGUACCGUGAGGGAAAGGCGAAAAGAACCCCGGCGAGGGGAGUGAAAAAGAACCUGAAACCGUGUACGUACAAGCAGUGGGAGCACAGGUUUACCUGUGUGACUGCGUACCUUUUGUAUAAUGGGUCAGCGACUUAUAUUCUGUAGCAAGGUUAACCGUAUAGGGGAGCCGGAGGGAAACCGAGUCUUAAUUGGGCGUUAAGUUGCAGGGUAUAGACCCGAAACCCGGUGAUCUAGCCAUGGGCAGGUUGAAGGUUGGGUAACACUAACUGGAGGACCGAACCGACUAAUGUUGAAAAAUUAGCGGAUGACCUGUGGCUGGGGGUGAAAGGCCAAUCAAACCGGGAGAUAGCUGGUUCUCCCCGAAAGCUAUUUAGGUAGCGCCUCGUGAAUUCAUCUCCGGGGGUAGAGCACUGUUUCGGCUAGGGGGCCAUCCCGGCUUACCAACCCGAUGCAAACUGCGAAUACCGGAGAAUGUUAUCACGGGAGACACACGGCGGGUGCUAACGUCCGUCGUGAAGAGGGAAACAACCCAGACCGCCAGCUAAGGUCCCAAAGUCAUGGUUAAGUGGGAAACGAUGUGGGAAGGCCCAGACAGCCAGGAUGUUGGCUUAGAAGCAGCCAUCAUUUAAAGAAAGCGUAAUAGCUCACUGGUCGAGUCGGCCUGCGCGGAAGAUGUAACGGGGCUAAACCAUGCACCGAAGCUGCGGCAGCGAACGUAUCACCCAAGACAACUUUACGGAGUUGACGAUUGACGGAGCGAAGCGACGUCAAAGCGUUCAUUAAAGUCGAGUUGGCUUAGGGAUACGUUCGUUGGGUAGGGGAGCGUUCUGUAAGCCUGUGAAGGUGUGUCGUGAGGCAUGCUGGAGGUAUCAGAAGUGCGAAUGCUGACAUAAGUAACGAUAAAGCGGGUGAAAAGCCCGCUCGCCGGAAGACCAAGGGUUCCUGUCCAACGUUAAUCGGGGCAGGGUGAGUCGACCCCUAAGGCGAGGCCGAAAGGCGUAGUCGAUGGGAAACGGGUUAAUAUUCCCGUACUUGGUGUUACUGCGAAGGGGGGACGGAGAAGGCUAUGUUGGCCGGGCGACGGUUGUCCCGGUUUAAGCGUGUAGGUGUGUGUUCCAGGUAAAUCCGGUUCACUUUAACACUGAGGCGUGACGACGAGGCACUACGGUGCUGAAGCAACAAAUGCCCUGCUUCCAGGAAAAGCCUCUAAGCAUCAGGUAACAUCAAAUCGUACCCCAAACCGACACAGGUGGUCAGGUAGAGAAUACCAAGGCGCUUGAGAGAACUCGGGUGAAGGAACUAGGCAAAAUGGUGCCGUAACUUCGGGAGAAGGCACGCUGACACGUAGGUGAAGUGAUUUACUCAUGGAGCUGAAGUCAGUCGAAGAUACCAGCUGGCUGCAACUGUUUAUUAAAAACACAGCACUGUGCAAACACGAAAGUGGACGUAUACGGUGUGACGCCUGCCCGGUGCCGGAAGGUUAAUUGAUGGGGUCAGCGCAAGCGAAGCUCCUGAUCGAAGCCCCGGUAAACGGCGGCCGUAACUAUAACGGUCCUAAGGUAGCGAAAUUCCUUGUCGGGUAAGUUCCGACCUGCACGAAUGGCGUAAUGAUGGCCAGGCUGUCUCCACCCGAGACUCAGUGAAAUUGAACUCGCUGUGAAGAUGCAGUGUACCCGCGGCAAGACGGAAAGACCCCGUGAACCUUUACUAUAGCUUGACACUGAACAUUGAGCCUUGAUGUGUAGGAUAGGUGGGAGGCUUUGAAGUGUGGACGCCAGUCUGCAUGGAGCCGACCUUGAAAUACCACCCUUUAAUGUUUGAUGUUCUAACGUGGACCCGUAAUCCGGGUUGCGGACAGUGUCUGGUGGGUAGUUUGACUGGGGCGGUCUCCUCCUAAAGAGUAACGGAGGAGCACGAAGGUUGGCUAAUCCUGGUCGGACAUCAGGAGGUUAGUGCAAUGGCAUAAGCCAGCUUGACUGCGAGCGUGACGGCGCGAGCAGGUGCGAAAG
rnacentral:rRNA from 1 species